CCUUUCUAAAGAAGCAUGACCCACGGUCACUGGAGGUCCUUUAUUCUGAUCGAAUGUGACCAAUUUUAUGGGGCAGGAGGGGGACACCUCCCAAGAGACUCCCUCUGGUGUUGACGGGGGAGGGACUGAUGCAGGGAGCCCUGACCUCUCUCUCAAGCUCCAGACUCACCAACCAUCCCCCACCCCUGGACAUGGCCAGCCAGAUGUCCCUCAAGCACCUCCAUCUCAACAGAGAAGAACAAAAAAACAAGCCUAAGAGGCAGGAGGAAAGUGGAGUGCCAGGGAUGCUGGCAGAAGACAGAAUGCCAAGGAGGAGACAAUGGUCAACGACGCCAAUGAUUGUGGAGAGGACACAGGUGAAGAGAAUGAAGAAGCAUCUGCUGUCCUUGGCAAUUAGGAGAGAGCAGUGCUGGGCAGGAACAGUAGACCUGCUGGGGGAAGUUGAUCAACCGCAUGGUGACACAUUUGCUACUUUGUCAUUUUCUUUUUUUCACAUUUUGAAGUCAAACACUAUUUGGGAGAGUCUCUGACACAUUUCUAGAGCUUUGAAAAACUCACAGAUUCUAUGCUGUCAUCCCGUUGGGCCUAAUGGGUAAAUGGCUCUAGAGAGUGACAGAUUGCUGACAGCAGGGUUUGAGUGCUGGAUCCAGCUAUGCCUGAAAUUCUGGGGCUGAAUCUACUCUUGGACUGUUCAUUGUACAUGAUCCAAUAAAUUCCAUUCUUUUUUGGAUUAA